rnacentral:rRNA from 1 species
AUACGGAGGAUGCAAGCGUUAUCCGGAUUUAUUGGGUUUAAAGGGUGCGUAGGCGGUUUGCUAAGCGGGAGGUGAAAUGCCGGCGCUCAACGUCGGAAGUGCCUCCCGAACUGGUGGACUGGAAUGACUCUGCCGUGGGAGGCAUGUGUAGUGUAGCGGUGAAAUGCUUAGAGAUUACACAGAACACCGAUUGCGAAGGCAUCUCACGAAGGGUUGAUUGACGCUGAGGCACUAAAGCGUGGGGAUCAAACAGGAUUAGAUACCCUGGUAGUCCACGCAGUAAACGAUGAUGGCUAACCGCUGGUUUUUUCGGAUCAGUGGCCAAGCGAAAGCGAUAAGCCAUCCACCUGGGGAGUACGACCGCAAGGUUGAAACUCAAAGGAAUUGACGGGG